AUUGAACGCUGGCGGCAGGCCUAACACAUGCACGUCGAGCGGAGUGGCGGACGGGUGAGUAAUGCCUAGGAACCUGCCCGGUAGUGGGGGAUAACUUCCGGAAACGGGCGCUAAUACCGCAUACUAUCAGAUGAGCCUAGGACGGGUGAGCUAGUUGGUGGGGUAAAGGCCUACCAAGGCUACGAGCCGGAACUGGUCUGCGAGGAUGACCAGUCACACUGGAACUGAGACACGGUCCAGACUCCUACGGGAGGCAGCAGUGGGGAAUAUUGGACAAUGGGCGAAAGCCUGAGGCAGCCAUGCCGCGUGUGUGAAGAAGGUCUUCGGAUUGUAAAGCACUUUAAGUAGGGAGGCGUUACCAACAGAGUAAGCACCGGCUAACUGCGUGCCAGCAGCCGCGGUAAUAC
rnacentral:rRNA from 1 species